UACGUAGGGGGCGAGCGUUGUCCGGAGUUACUGGGCGUAAAGCGCUUGUAGGCGGUCCACCAAGUUUGGGGUGACAGUUGCCGACUUAAUCGGCAAAGAGCCUCAAAGACUGGCGGACUUGAGGGCCACAGAGGGACAUGGAACUCCAGGUGUAGUGGUGAAAUGCGUAGAUAUCUGGAAGAACACCAAAGGCGAAGGCAGUGUCCUGGGUGGUCGCUGACGCUGAGAGGCGAAAGCCAGGGGAGCGAACGGG
rnacentral:rRNA from 1 species